rnacentral:rRNA from 1 species
GACGAACGCUGGCGGCGUGCUUAACACAUGCAAGUCGAACGGAAAGGCCCUGCUUUUGUGGGGUGCUCGAGUGGCGAACGGGUGAGUAACACGUGAGUAACCUGCCCUUGACUUUGGGAUAACUUCAGGAAACUGGGGCUAAUACCGGAUAGGAGCUCCUGCUGCAUGGUGGGGGUUGGAAAGUUUCGGCGGUUGGGGAUGGACUCGCGGCUUAUCAGCUUGUUGGUGGGGUAGUGGCUUACCAAGGCUUUGACGGGUAGCCGGCCUGAGAGGGUGACCGGCUACAUUGGGACUUACAUACGGCCCAGACUCCUACGGGAUGCAGCUGUGAAGAAUAUUGCACAAUGGGCGGAAGCCUCAUGCAGCAACGCCGCGUGCUGGAUGACGGCCUUCGGGUUGUAACCCGCUUUCGCCUGUGACGAAGCGUGAGUGACGGUAAUGGGUAAAGAAGCACCGGCUAACUACGUG